AGCUCAGGGCUAAUCUUCCUCACGGAAAAAAAAAAAAGUCCAAGAUUAAAAAUGAAUAGUUUUCACAGUGGAAGGGCCUAGCCAGCCAGAUGAAUAAAGAUUGACACCAAUGUAUGUGAUAAUGAAUGUUCAGAGCACCAAAGAUAAACCGAAGUAUAUAAAGGGUUCAGAGAGAAACAAACCAACUAAAAAUCAACAAAUAAUAAAAAUAGCAUCAUCGAAAAGGAUAAGGGGUAAAAAUGCCAUUGAGCAUCUUGAUAGUAAUGCUAGAAGUCAGAAGCAAUGUGAACAAGGUCUUCAAAAUUGUGAAAGAAAAUUAUUUUUAGCUAGAAUUCUAUCUUGAGUCAAAUUCUAAAUCUAAAAUGAGGGUAGAAUAAAGCCAUAUUCAGAUAUGCAGCAUUUUAAUAAAUUGAUCUUCCAUCCAUUUAUACUGGAAAGCCACUGGGAAAUGUUACAUACCAAAUGUGCUGUAAAUAAGAAAAAAAAAGGACAUAAAUAUCAUGAAACAAUGGAAAUUUGUGAGAGCCAGGAAAUAUUUAAAGAAGGGGCUUUAGAGAAUUCCAUGGAUUAAGGGGUGUGCCAAGAUGCUUGAUGUACAGAAGACAGAGUGGGCAAACAUUCCAAACUCAGAAGGACAGAGGGUUCCACAGCGGAUGCAGAGGCAACAGAGGUAGGGAGAGGGCCAAUGGCUGAUGAUGAUGCGAUGUGCUCAACCCAUGCUGAAGUUUCAGAGCUGCGAAAUGUUGCUACGCUUUUUUCCAAACAACAAAUAUAAUGACUGAGCACUCCUAACAAGGGAAUAUUAAGGAAGUUUCUGAAAGAGAGGAAUAACAAGUAAAAAAAAAAAAGAGCUAUGGAAAAAUAAUCAAGCUUCCUGUGCAGAAGGAAAAAAGUCUACUCAGAGGAAGUACUGAGUAGUAAAUUAUAAAACAAUUGUCAUAGCAUACUCUGGCUUGAUGUGGGCUGGUGUUAAAUACAAUGACCCACUUAAAAGAGACAGGUAUGUGAUGUUGGGUCUUCCAUGGGAAAUUGUUCAUCAGCCUCAGAUGGAUAUCUGAGGAAUACCACACUGCAGUCUGUCAAAGGUGAUGUGGGAAAUCUUAGAGCCUAAAGUUGGUAUCUCAUCAUCCAGGACCUGUCCACAUGGACCUCUCCAUUUACAGAGUAGUCUGGAUUUCCUGCAUGACGUUUCAAAGCUCCAAGAGUGAAGAAAAGGAAGCUACUUUAAUGCUUUCCUUAAUGCCUGGACUCAGAACUUCUAAAACACCACUUCUUCUGCAUUCUAUUUGUCCAGUUAGUCACAAUUCUAGCCUGGAUUAAAGUGGAAAGAUAUAUGUUCCACCUCCUGUAUCACUGGCAAACUGCAGGGGGCAGAAGUUUUGAGACUCUCCACCCUCUGGCUGGGAGGAGUGUGGGCUGAAUGAAUGACAUCAUAACUUUGCCUUGAAAAGAUGAAACCCAAAAAGCUGGAAAACAG
rnacentral:lncRNA from 1 species